rnacentral:rRNA from 1 species
GACAGAGGGUGCAAACGUUGUUCGGAAUUACUGGGCGUAAAGGGCGCGCAGGCGGCUGCUCAAGUCAGGCGUGAAAGGCCUGGGCUCAACCCGGGAAUUGCGCUUGAGACUGGGCUGGCUUGAGACCGGAAGAGGUAAGUGGAACUGCGAGUGUAGAGGUGAAAUUCGUAGAUAUUCGCAAGAACACCAGUGGCGAAGGCGGCUUACUGGUCCGGUUCUGACGCUGAGGCGCGAAAGCGUGGGGAGCAAACAGG